UCCGAGUGUGUUUCAUCUUAUAUUUUACAAGAUGAUAUUAUUGAACAAUACUUUACCCAGUCUUCACAUAUGUCUCCCUGUUCUUCUUUCCUCAAAUUCUCAUUCUGUUCUUGAUAGAAUUCAUUUAAAAUGGCCAGGGUAUCAGCAGGCAACUUUAAUAGGCUCGUCAUCACAGCUAAAUAAUUGUAUUGUUUAUAACUGAUUGCAGAAUCGUUGUAAACAAAAUACGACGAGUAAUGUCUCCAAAAUAAGGACAAAUUUCCAGUAGUUUUAUUAAAUACAAGGACAAAUUUCCAAUACAAGAACAAAUUCCAAGAAAU
rnacentral:lncRNA from 1 species